GACCGCCUGCUGCAAAUCAGCAGAAUAGUUAAAAGGAGCAGCUGGCUUUUUUCCCCCCACGUAGGAUUUCCAGUGAAAAGUAGCAGCAAACGGUAGGAAUUUGACGCUCCAGCAGGAGCUGUGAAAAUCCGAGUUCAGGUCACAUCAACCGCAGAUGCAGGGCUUCGAAAGGGCAGAUUAUUCCCUCACACGGGGAAGAAAAUUGGAUUAAAAUCUAUGAAACUCUACUUUCACAAUUAAGGCCAGAUGGCUUUGUUUCCCCAUUAUUACUGUCCUCGUAUGUGACUCCGGGCGGCCUCCAUUUCAAGGGGUUUCUAAACCUGCCCAAGGAUGUUUCACUCUGAAUAUUCUCUGCACACGGACAUUGGUUUUUCUCAGCUUCUACAACUGCAGCUCAUAGUUAAAAGAACUUUUAAGGCUCUGACUAACGACAAACGAACAAAAUAAAAUUGGCGCCAUAGAAAUUUGUGGGAGAGUUUUUCUCUCUUUCUCUAGCUAAUGAAACAGCUGAUGGGUGCUAGAAAAAGGUUUGCAGCAAAAUCUUCCAGUUCUGGUGCAGCGGCUAGAGCUGACGUUAAAAUACAGUACCACAAUUAGAUUUUAAAGUGUUACAACGUUUUUCUUUCUUUCUUGUGUUUUUGGUCGACCUGCAACCUAAGAGACUCAUGGCUGAGAUAUUAAUUUAUUUAAUUUAAUUGAUACAUCGCCCACCAGGCAACAAGACCACUCCAGGCAGCUGGCAACAAAAUAAAACUCUAAGCAACAUUUAUCCACAUUGAACACGGCCUUCAAAAUCAUUUAUAAAGCAAUAGACGCAAACUGACCGGUAUAACUUUAAAAAUAUAGAUCACACACACAAAAAACCUUCAUUGAAUAGAGAUUGUUAUUCAAACUGCCUCAAACAAAGUGGACUAGACUAGAUUACAUGCUUGUCUCUACCAGGGUCCUCCCUUGGCCGCCAGAGAU